rnacentral:rRNA from 1 species
GUACACGCUGUGACUAGCAUAUCAAUAAGCGGAGGAAAAGAAACUAACAAGGAUUCCCCUAGUAACGGCGAGUGAAGCGGGAAGAGCUCAAAUUUGAAAUCUUAAAGGGUUUCCCUUUACGAAUUGUAGUUUAAAGAAGUGUUUUCUGUUGAGGUUUUGGUAAAAGUUCUUUGGAAUAGGACAUCAUAGAGGGUGAGAAUCCCGUAUUUGACCUUUACUUUCAACUUUGUGAUACACUUUCAAAGAGUCGGAUUGUUUGGGAAUGCAGUCCAAAAUGGGUGGUAAAUUUCAUCUAAAGCUAAAUAUUGGCGAGAGACCGAUAGCGAACAAGUACCGUGAGGGAAAGAUGAAAAGAACUUUGAAAAGAGAGUUAAACAGUACGUGAAAUUGUCAAAAGGGAAGCGUUUGACACCAGUGUUGUUUUUCUGAAAAUCAAUUAAAGAACUGUUUAUGCUAAGCUGUUUAGACUUUAUCAGCUAUCUGUUUAGUUUUGAGCCUUUCUUUAAUGCACUUUUCAGUUAACAAGUCAACAUCAAUUUCUUUUGCUGUAAAAAAGCUUGAGGAAGGUGGCUUGAGAUUCGUCUUAAGUGUUUAUAGCCUCUUGCCUAUGCAGUCGGAGAGAUUGAGGUCUGCAGCGUAGAUCCUUCGGGGCUAAAUGCAUUUGUGCUAAGUUAUAGCAUUUUAUAGACAACUUGUUGACUAUGAUUUGUCUUGUAGCUUACUCGCUUAUGUUAUUUUACCUACGCUUAGGAUGUUGAUAUGCAUGACUGAUAU